AAACGUCCGGUUCACUCCUCCUCCCAAGAACCGGACCCAAAGCGCGAUACUCCUCCUCCCAAUCGCGCUUACAGAUUAAGCCCACAACGUUCUCCUCCUCCCGAGCGUUGUGGGCUUUUC
rfam:Ochrobactrum anthropi ATCC 49188 chromosome 2, complete sequence.